AUUGAACGCUGGCGGCAUGCCUUACACAUGCAAGUCGAACGGCAGCAUGAUCUAGCUUGCUAGAUUGAUGGCGAGUGGCGAACGGGUGAGUAAUACAUCGGAACGUGCCCUGUAGUGGGGGAUAACUAGUCGAAAGAUUAGCUAAUACCGCAUACGACCUGAGGGUGAAAGUGGGGGACCGCAGGGCCUCAUGCUAUAGGAGCGGCCGAUGUCUGAUUAGCUAGUUGGUGAGGUAAAGGCUCACCAAGGCGACGAUCAGUAGCUGGUCUGAGAGGACGAUCAGCCACACUGGGACUGAGACACGGCCCAGACUCCUACGGGAGGCAGCAGUGGGGAAUUUUGGACAAUGGGCGAAAGCCUGAUCCAGCAAUGCCGCGUGUGUGAAGAAGGCCUUCGGGUUGUAAAGCACUUUUGUCCGGAAAGAAAUGGCUCUGGUUAAUACCUGGGGUCGAUGACGGUACCGGAAGAAUAAGGACCGGCUAACUACGUG
rnacentral:rRNA from 1 species